rnacentral:rRNA from 1 species
GAGUUUGAUCCUGGCUCAGAAUCAACGCUGGCGGCGUGCCUAACACAUGCAAGUCGAGCGAGAAAAGGGGGGCAACUCCCUGAGUACAGCGGCGCACGGGUGAGUAACACGUGGGUAAUCUGCCCUGGAGUGGGGAAUAACACCGGGAAACCGGUGCUAAUACCGCAUACGAUAACGAGGUCUGCGGACCAUGUUAUGAAAGGAGCAAUUCGCUCCAGGAGGAGCCCGCGGCUGAUUAGCUAGUUGGUGAGGUAAUGGCUCACCAAGGCAACGAUCAGUAUCCGGUCUGAGAGGACGGUCGGACACACUGGAACUGAGACACGGUCCAGACUCCUACGGGAGGCAGCAGUGGGGAAUUUUUGGCAAUGGGGGAAACCCUGACCAAGCAACGCCGCGUGGGUGAUGAAGUCUCUUGGGACGUAAAACCCUUUCGACGGGGAAGAAACCGCAAGGUUGACGGUACCCGUAGAAGAAGCCCCGGCUAACUCCGUGCCAGCAGCCGCGGUAAUACGGGGGGGGCAAGCGUUGUUCGGAAUUACUGGGCGUAAAGGGCGCGUAGGCGGUUUGCCAAGUUGGAUGUGAAAACUCUGGGCUCAACCCAGAGCCUGCAU